CUUCUACUCCCUCCGUCCCAAAAUUCUUGUCUUAGUUUUGUCUAGAUACGGAUGUAUCUAAUACUAAAACGUGACUUGAUACAUCCGUAUUUAGACAAAUCUAAGACAAAAUUUUGGGACGGAGGGAGUAGUUG
rnacentral:pre_miRNA from 1 species